rnacentral:rRNA from 1 species
UACGGGAGGCAGCAGGUAAGAAUCUUCCGCAAUGGGCGAAAGCCUGACGGAGCGACGCCGCGUGAACGAAGAAGGCCGUGAGGUUGUAAAGUUCUUUUCGGGAGGGGGAACAACCGUGGCAGGGAAUGGCCGCGGGAUGACGUGAAUCCCGGAAUAAGCCCCGGCUAACUACGUGCCAGCAGCCGCGGUAACACGUAGGGGGCGAGCGUUGUUCGGAAUCAUUGGGCGUAAAGGGCGUGCAGGCGGUCCUGCAAGUCCGGCGUGAAAUACCCCGGCCCAACCGGGGGGACGCGCUGGAAACUGCAGGGCUUGAGUACAGGAGGGGAUGCCGGAAUUCCAGGUGUAGGGGUGAAAUCUGUAGAUAUCUGGAAGAACACCAAUGGCGAAGGCAGGCAUCUGGCCAUGUACUGACGCUGAGACGCGAAGGUGCGGGGAGCAAACAGGUUUAGAUACCCUGGUAGUCCGCACAGUAAACGAUGUGCACCAGGUGGCGGGGGGUCGACCCCCGGUACCGUAGCUAACGCAUUAAGUGCACCGCCUGGGGAGUAUGCUCGCAAGGGUGAAACUCAAAG